rnacentral:rRNA from 1 species
UACGUGGGGUGCAAGCGUUAAUCGGAAUUACUGGGCGUAAAGCGUGCGCAGGCGGUGAUGUAAGACAGAUGUGAAAUCCCCGGGCUCAACCUGGGAACUGCAUUUGUGACUGCAUCGCUAGAGUACGGCAGAGGGGGAUGGAAUUCCGCGUGUAGCAGUGAAAUGCGUAGAUAUGCGGAGGAACACCGAUGGCGAAGGCAAUCCCCUGGGCCUGUACUGACGCUCAUGCACGAAAGCGUGGGGAGCAAACAGG